GCCUGGGUGGCUCAGUCGGUUGGGCGUCUGACUUUGGCUCAGGUCAUGAUCUCGCAGUUCGUGGGUUCAAGCCCCGCAUCAGGCU
rnacentral:tRNA from 1 species